GGACGAACGCUGGCGGUGUGCUUAACACAUGCAAGUGGUGCGACGAACCAGAGCUUGCUCUGGGGCAAAGCCGCGAACGGGUGAGUAACACGUGGGUAAUCUACCCCGAUGACCGGGACAACCCGAGGAAACUCGGGCUAAUACCGGAUGUGGUACGGAGACAUAAGUCUCUUUACUAAAGGUAGCUUCGGCUUCCGCAUUGGGAGGGGCCCGCGGCCCAUUAGCUAGUUGGCGGGGUCAAGGCCUACCAAGGCAACGAUGGGUAGCUGGUCUGAGAGGACGAUCAGCCACACUGGGACUGAGACACGGCCCAGACUCCUACGGGAGGCAGCAGUGGGGAAUCUUGCGCAAUGCGCGAAAGCGUGACGCAGCAACACCGCGUGAGGGAAGACGGCCUUAGGGUUGUAAACCUCUUUCAGAUGGGACGAAGGUGAUGCGGUGAAUAGCCGAUGUCAUUGACGGUACCGUCAGAAGAAGCUCCGGCUAACUACGUG
rnacentral:rRNA from 1 species